UUGAUUUUAAUAGUGUUAAAUUGAUGACUUAUCUUCUGUAUUAUUCUUAGGGAGUAACAAAGCAAGUGGAAAGAGCUGAAGGAAAGCCAGUUCUCCUGGAACCAACAGAGGAAUAAGACUGAUUAAUAAGCGUCAGCUUCCAAGGACACAAAAGCAAAAGCAUAAGAAGUGUUUAACUCCUGAAUUCCUUGUACUUAGAUGAGAACUAGAAUAUGCAUACCUCAACAGUAUGGAGAACCACAAGCUUCAAUUGUUGCUGCUUUUCACUUCCUAGCAGUCCCCUGCACAUCAUCACUGUUUUGCCUCUUGCUUCCGAACACCCUGGAUCUCAUGGAGCCCUACAAAAACCGCACUAUCACACUGUAAAUAAGCUCACAGUAGCACAACUAUGA
rnacentral:lncRNA from 1 species